rnacentral:rRNA from 2 species
AAAUUGAAGAGUUUGAUCAUGGCUCAGAUUGAACGCUGGCGGCAGGCCUAACACAUGCAAGUCGAACGGUAACAGGAAGCAGCUUGCUGCUUCGCUGACGAGUGGCGGACGGGUGAGUAAUGUCUGGGAAACUGCCUGAUGGAGGGGGAUAACUACUGGAAACGGUGGCUAAUACCGCAUAACGUCGCAAGACCAAAGAGGGGGACCUUCGGGCCUCUUGCCAUCAGAUGUGCCCAGAUGGGAUUAGCUAGUUGGUGAGGUAACGGCUCACCAAGGCGACGAUCCCUAGCUGGUCUGAGAGGAUGACCAGCCACACUGGAACUGAGACACGGUCCAGACUCCUACGGGAGGCAGCAGUGGGGAAUAUUGCACAAUGGGCGCAAGCCUGAUGCAGCCAUGCCGCGUGUAUGAAGAAGGCCUUCGGGUUGUAAAGUACUUUCAGCGGGGAGGAAGGUGUUGUGGUUAAUAACCGCAGCAAUUGACGUUACCCGCAGAAGAAGCACCGGCUAACUCCGUGCCAGCAGCCGCGGUAAUACGGAGGGUGCAAGCGUUAAUCGGAAUUACUGGGCGUAAAGCGCACGCAGGCGGUCUGUCAAGUCGGAUGUGAAAUCCCCGGGCUCAACCUGGGAACUGCAUUCGAAACUGGCAGGCUUGAGUCUUGUAGAGGGGGGUAGAAUUCCAGGUGUAGCGGUGAAAUGCGUAGAGAUCUGGAGGAAUACCGGUGGCGAAGGCGGCCCCCUGGACAAAGACUGACGCUCAGGUGCGAAAGCGUGGGGAGCAAACAGGAUUAGAUACCCUGGUAGUCCACGCCGUAAACGAUGUCUACUUGGAGGUUGUGCCCUUGAGGCGUGGCUUCCGGAGCUAACGCGUUAAGUAGACCGCCUGGGGAGUACGGCCGCAAGGUUAAAACUCAAAUGAAUUGACGGGGGCCCGCACAAGCGGUGGAGCAUGUGGUUUAAUUCGAUGCAACGCGAAGAACCUUACCUGGUCUUGACAUCCACAGAACUUUCCAGAGAUGGAUUGGUGCCUUCGGGAACUGUGAGACAGGUGCUGCAUGGCUGUCGUCAGCUCGUGUUGUGAAAUGUUGGGUUAAGUCCCGCAACGAGCGCAACCCUUAUCCUUUGUUGCCAGCG